GCGGGUAUAGUUUAGUGGCAGAAUACGACGCUUCCAACGUUGAGACGAGAGUUCGAUUCUCUCUACCCGCA
rnacentral:tRNA from 1 species